AGGGAGCCAUCUUGCCAGCCUGGGAGGAAGAACUCAGCUGGGACACAGCCCCCAGGAGCAGAGCUGUGAAACUCUGAACUGAAGAGGGGCCAAAGGGCCUCUCUUGGGAGGCGGCUGCUGUUUAGAGUCCAGGAAAAGGGGGAUGAUAUUUUAAAGACUGCAGCUGUGAGUUAUUUUUGGAAAUCGAGGCAAGGUGCCUGCAGGGCCACCCAAGCCCAUGAGUGGGCACCCUGGGCCACACCUUUCCACAAUACUGUGUUUGACUUGGACUAAGGGACUCUGUUACCCUGGAAGGGGUUGGAUGCUUUAAGGUGAUUUGACUGGCAGAGGCUGAAGAUCAGAGUGGGGACACAGAGGCAGAAGUGCUGCAACACUGGGUCUGACCAGAAGGGGGUGCUCCAGAAUGGGUGAGUCUCGAAUGAUGCAGUUGCAUAAACCCGAAAUCCUGAUUCCCAUGGAGCCAUGCUGCAGUUUAAAGAUUAGAACACCAAGAUGUGUGUCUGCCAGUGAAGCUUAGCAUCAGAGACACGCGCACAAAUAUUUAUACACAUCCCACUCCGCCUCUUUCAUGGGAGAAAUAUUUCUUCUUAUCUUAAUGGUAAAAAUCCAAAGCUAAUGUACUGUAAUGCUGCUUUUUUAACAUUUCCAUCUCCUGAGCUGCUUUUCCAUGUGUCCCUUGGAGAAUAUUAUGUAGCAUGAAAAGUUGGCGCUCUGCUCCAGUUUGACUGCAAGUUGCACCUUGGAGUAAAUUAAUUCAAAUCCCCUGGAGAAGGAGGUUAGGUGCUCAUGUGUUGGAGCUUUGCAGAGCUUCUGUGGAUUUAUUUGCAUUCAUCAAUAGCAUUUUUUUUCUUUGCCCUCUUUCUGUGUGACAUAUAAAGCUGUUCAGAUAAUCAUGGAUGGAUAAUGGUGCUUGCUUUUCACUCAGAAGUGGGUGGCGUUUUGUAUUUAUGUGGGGGGUUGGAAGAAGCAAGUUGCAUUUGAAAGACAUUUUGAUUGUCGUUACGUUUAUCUUGUGCACAAUGAACAGCCUUCAUUAAUUCCACUUCUCUCUUCCCACACACCCUGCACCUGUAAGCAUUUUGUGGCAUUCUCUGUAGUCCCUUUAAUCAAUAGAUCAAUUUCUUUCUGAUUAAAAAUAGAAAGGCUAAGA